GUGUUUAAUUCAGCAGUACACUUACUAAAAUUAGAACACAGAGAAUAUUAGCUUGGCCCCUGCACAAGGAUGACCUGCAAAUUUGUGAAGCCUUCCAUAGAAAG